UCAAAGAUGCUUCUAUGUGGUCCACUUCUCUU
rnacentral:piRNA from 1 species